AAAAACAAAUGAAGAAAGGAAGGGACGAAAGUGACUCGAGCAAAGCGAGAGGGAUGAAAUGACUAACGAAUAAAGGGUUAUCAUGGAUUCCGAUUUGGAAGCUUGAAUAGUGAUAGAUAAGACAACUCAACUAGAUUUCACGUCUUUUCUUGAAAGUGCCUUUCCAUCGCAAGUAACUGAGCUAUCUAGGGUUCAAAACCUGGGGAAGUCAUUUCAACAGAAGCCUUACCAAAGUCAAGAGAUUGGGCUCCUAUAGCUAUAGUUGGAGCUUUUACGAACAGGUUUAGAGUAGGCAAUUCCAGUUCAAGUUUCAGAUUGGGCUCCUAUAGCUAUAGUUGGAGCUUUUACGAACAGGUUUAGAGUAGGCAAUUCCAGUUCAAGUUUCAGCUUGAUAGCUAUAUCUUUCCUUUCUUAACUGGGUUUUUGAACUUCACAUAUAGCCCAUCAGCUUGUGACUUCGCAAUCUCAGUUU
rnacentral:lncRNA from 1 species